CACGUUUAGCUUCUGGCCUGUGCAAGACAGGAAUAGUACAUGGAGUAGCAGAACCUGAGGCCUGCCAAAGAGUACAGUGGGCUGGAGUGGCUGGCAGGGGAAAGUACGUCAGUGCGGUGACAUCACAGGCCAAUGCUCCUAUCAGGAAGAAGAGAGCUUGGGAACUGCAGAAUACUUACUACAGAGAUACCAGCCCGGAGCUGGGAGAUCCUGCCAUGGGCUUCAGGCUCCUCUGCUGUGUGGCCUUUUGUCUCCUGGGAGCAGGCUCAGUGGAUUCUGGAGUCACACAAACCCCAAAGCACCUGAUCACAGCAAUUGGACAGCAAGUGACGCUGAGAUGCUCCCCUAGGUCUGGAGACCUCUCUGUGUACUGGUACCAACAGAGCCUGGGCCAGGGCCUCCAGUUCCUCAUUCAGUAUUAUAAUGGGGAAGAGAGAGCAAAAGGAAACAUUCUUGAAAGAUUCUCAGCACAACAGUUCCCUGACUUGCACUCUGAACUAAACCUGAGCUCUCUGGAGCUGGGGGACUCGGCUUUGUAUUUCUGUGCCAGCAGCGAAGCACAGCCCUGCAUGAGCAUCAGCUUUCUGUGCAAUAACAUUCCAUCCCUACUCAGGAAGUGACGGUGAGAGGAGGGCUGCCAGCCAGAGGGCCUCAGGCCCUGGAGAGCGGACAGGCCUUUCCCAGGCACUCGCUGGUGCUUCUGUGUGAGAUCUAGUUUAAUGCUCACUGAAACUGUCUAAGCGAAGUAUUAUUUUACCUGUUUACAUAUCUGAGGGACAGCAGAUGUCCUGGGGCUCAUAUUUAAUAGCUAGCUGAAGUCUGUUUUUUCAACACCUCUGCACUGUCCCUCCUCACUCCGGAGAUCUGUCCUUUUACCUGGUGUCCCCUUUUUGUGUCCCCAAGAGCAGGAUGCUAAGGUCAUGCAUGAAGCUGUGAUCAUGAUAACUUCUUCCCUGACAAGUCCAGUGAACACAUGAUUUCCAGGCAAAACAUACCCAUU